rnacentral:lncRNA from 1 species
CUCCCAAGACAUGAAACACCGUAAGUCGCAAGCUUCUAAGAAUUUCUAUAUGUUCUAUACAUUAGUAUCUAAAGAAAAAGGGGAAGAAUUAACAUAAGGGGAUAAAGGGGGACUCCGAGAAUCUGCGGACGCGGGCAGAUGCACCUUGAAGUCUCCUGAAUAGCAAUGACUGCAACUAAGAAUGAGGCUGGUAGGAGGUACCUGGAUCUGCACAUGAAAAACAUGUGCGGGAAAGGCAUAAGUACACCACAACGGUACCCAGUAAAUACCAAACCUAACCUCGAUUGAGUAGUGACGAGGUCAGGUCAGGGCCCUACUAGUAUAUGUAUAAUAAAAUAAGACAAAAUGAAAUAUCGCAGUAAGUAAAGACCAAAAUUUAACAAGAAUGAAAUCAUAAAAAGGUAACAGCUCAGUACACAGAGAUAACAACAGUGGAUCUCCCGAAAUACUGUUCCGUAGUCCUAAAGAAAAUAUGUAAUGCAGGGGGAUCUCUCGGAAUACCGUUCCGUAGUCCCAAAGUAAAUAUGCAGUAUAUGUGGAUCUCCCACAACACCGUUCCAUAGUCCCAAAGUAAAUAUGCAACUCAAACAACGGAAAUAACAGUUACUAAAGGAAAGCCUACAGUUUAGACUAAGUUCAAGUCAAGGAAAAAAGAGGAAAUUCACUAAAUAUGCUGCAUAAAGUUCAGAUAGAUAAUCAAAGCAAGUAGACAUGCUAUUCUAACCUAACAGGAUACUACAUAUGCUAAUACAACUCAAAUAAGAAGGAAAACAUGUUAUUACUUAGCAGAAAUCGGGUUUUCACAAUAGUUACCAUGUGUACGUACUCGUCACCUUACGUACAUGACACUCACAUACCAAAACAAUACCAAAUCCUAAGGGGAGUUUCCCCCACAUAAAGUUAGGCAAGCCACUUACCUCGAACCAAGCUCAAAUAAAUCCGUAACAAUGCCCUUUCCACGAAUAUCUGACUCCGAGUGGCCCAAAUAUAACAAAAAUAAAUUACAUUCAUAAAUAUAACUACAAGAACUAAUCAAACUAAUGAAAUCAAAGCUAAAGCAAUAAAUUGGAAAAUCAUCCUAAAAGGUCUCCCCGGGUCCACGUCUCAAAAUCGGAUAAAAGUCACAAAAUAUGAACACUUAUCCACUCACGAGUCUAACCAUACAAGAAUUACUCGAAUCCGACCCCAAAUCGCCUUCCAAAACUCGAAAUUUUAGUUUAUGAAACUUCUACCAUUUUUCCCCUAAUUUCCAACUCAAAUCCCUAACUAAAUAAUUCUCCUCUCCCCAGGAUCAUCUGAACAAACCAAUCAGGUUUUGUCAAAUGAAGGAACAUCUCUGAAAAUAUCAUGCUUGCUCAGGAAAUAGUUCAUGGUAUUAAAAAGCCAAAUGUGGGUUCAAAUGUAGUCAUCAAGCUUGACAUGGCAAAAGCUUAUGACAGAGUUUCCUGGAGCUUCACAUGCCUAAUGCUCAGAAGAAUGGAAGUAAAUAAAAUUAUCAUUGACAUGAUAUGGAGGACAAUGUCUAACAACUGGUACUCUGUAGUUGUUAAUGGUACAAGAUGUGGCUUCUUCCAAUCCUCAAAGGGCCUCAAACAGGGGGAUCUACUAGCCCCAUCUUUAUUCAUCAUAGGUGUAGAGCUCCUCUCCAGAAUGCUCAACAGAUUGAAUCAUGACAAACUGUUUAAUGGCUUCUACAUGGAAAAGAGAGGGCCACAGAUCAAUCACUUGAGCAUUGCAGAUGAUAUCAUCAUCUUUACGUCUGGCAAAAGAACAUCUCUCAAGAAGAUCAUGUGGGUCCUUACUAAUUAUGAGAACACCUCAAGACAACUCAUUAACAGGCAGAAAAGCCAUUUCAUGACCGCAUCCUCUGCUCUGCAAGCUACUAUUAGAAGAAUCCAUGAAGUGACAGGUUUCACCAGAAAAGAUUCAUCUCUCACAUAUCUGAGGUGUCCUAUUUACACUGGUAGAAGCAAAAUCAUGCAUUUCAAUAGGCUAAUCUCUAAGGUUGUAGGAAAAAUCAAAGGCUAUGGUAAAAUGUUAUCCUAUGGUGGAAGGGUAACUUUGAUCAAGUAUUUACUGAAGGCCCUACCAAUUCACUUGCUUUCAGCUGUGUCCCCUCCCAAGACAUUCAUGAAGCAGAUUGAAAGAUUCACUGUAAACUUCUUCUGGGGUAUGAUAUCAUUAGGCAUCAUGGUCAAAACUUUCCUAUCCUCUCAAUGAAGGUGUAGUUGGUUUCAGAACUAUCAAGGACACAUGCAAGGCCAUGGAAUUCAAAUAAUGGUAUCAUUUCAGAACUGUGGACUCACUUUGGAGUUCCUUUCUGAAAGCCAAAUAUUGUUAGAGAUCUCACCCCAUAUCCAAGAAAUGGGACAUUGCCCAAUCUCAAGCUUGGAAAAGGCUGAGCUUCAACAAAAAAGAUGCUGAAACUACAAUUCAGUAGAGAUUACAUUAUGGAUGCUACAGCUUCUGAUCGGAUAAUUGGUUGGGAUCAGGCCCUUUAGCCAAUAGCAGAACAGGAGGAGGAAGACCAGGCAGAAUCUCAAUUUCUCAUAUCUGGAAUGAUGGGCAUUGGGAUCUCUAAAAUCUUAAUAAAACAGCCCCAGCUCAUAAGAUUCAUGAGAUUAUAUAAAUAGCCAUUCACUUCAAUCUAGAUCUCCCUGACAAGCCUAUCUGGAUCCCUGUUGUGAAUGGUAAAUUCAUUGUGCUACUGCUUGGUAUCUCAUAAGGAACAAAACACCACCCAACUUCACUAACAAGAUGACAUGCCACACAAAGAUCCGUUUCAAAUGGUCAUUUUGCCAUUGGAGAACCCUAAGAAACAAAUUACCCACUGAUGAUAGAGUGCUCCCCUUCAUCAGUCACACUUUUCAAGAUGUGUUUGUUGCUCCAUACAUGCUCGUGAAAUAAUAGAUCACCUCUUCAACUCUAGCAACUUUGCAAAAAUCAUUUGGAGGAAGUAUGGAGGUCAUGUAGGUGUCCACACUGAGAACUUGCCUUUUAGAAUGCUUCUAAUGAAAUGGUGGCUUCAGAAGAGUCAUAAUGUGAUUCAAAAGCUCAUCUUGGACACCACCCCUACCAUUAUUUGCUGGAACUUGUAGAAACAUAGAUGCAGUGCCAAGUAUGGGACAAAAUCUUCUUCCUUAACCAGGAUCAUAUAUUCAAUCAACUCAGACAGCAACCUGCUCCUAAGAGCCAACUUCCCUAAUGUCAACUGGCCCCUCAACUGGGGGGAUCUCUACCCCUUCAUUGAAAAUCUCCAGCAACAAACUAUUUCUACCCAAAUUUGCGGGAACAAACCUGACAAUGACUUUGUCAAAGUUAAUUCUGAUGGCAAGAUAGGAGCCAGAGUUAUAAUCAGAAAUCACCAUGGGCAGUUCAUUCAUGCUAUGGCUAUUCCAUUAGGGCAGGGAACCAAUAACUAUGCAGAAACAGAAGUAGCGAGAAUAGGUAUUCAGUGCUGUUUGGCUAAUGGAUUCACCAGAAUUCACUUUGAAGCAGGCUCAACACUUUUGAUCAAAUGGUUGACUAAAGAUAAGGAUCCUCCCUGGACUUUGAACAUGAAGAUAUCACAAUUGAAGGACAUGUGCAACCAAUGCUUAGAUUUCAGAGCUUCUUAUGUGUAUAGAGAAGCAAAUUGUCCUGAUGAUUCACUGUCAAAGCUCAGUCAUGAACUCACAUCAUCGACUGAGUUCAAUAAUGCUUCUACUCUCCCAACUCACAUCAGAGGGAAAAUCAUGCAAGAUUACCUGGGUACUCCUGCUUUAAGGCACAGGAAAAUCAGCAGAAUCUUGGUACCUCCACAAUAUGCAAGUUCCUCUUCCUCAUAUCAUGGUUAUGGUUGAUGUUUCCUUAGAAAUGGGAGCACAAUUAUCAGUCCAAAUGAAGAGCACAAGGCAAUAGUUUAUGGUAAUCCAAGUCCAUGCUUACCUCAUUUUCUUUUUUGCAGGUACCAUCACCUUGGGACUGUAUAGACCAUUGGCCUCUCCUCAGAGUGUGGUAUUAACAGCAAUAUUGUUCAAUCUCCUGAGGAUUGAUCAAUGGAGUGGGGUAGAUCUCAACACAAACACACACUACAACUUUGAACUCAAAAAACACAACACUAGUUUCUCAACUUGCAAGGAAAAAGGAAUGAAGACAUUGACAAAAAUGCAGUCCAUACUCCCAAUAUGUGGACCAAUUUUCACCUUCUUCCCUUUGCUCAUCAAUGUUCCUAGUACACACAAGAACCUUGGAGCAAUUUCGUCUUUUUUGCAGCCCAAUAAUCAAUCUGCAAACACCCCUAAACCUCAGAAAAAACACAGAAUCAAAAAACUGGGCAGAACUGCCCUAUUUCUCUAACUCUGUUUUCUUUUUUGCAGGUUUCAUUCAUUCAUUGAUGCUUAUCCAAUUGAUGCACUUCCAGGGUGUGGUAUUAGCAUCCAUGAUGCUCAUUCUCCUGGAAGUAUAUCAACUGGAUCAAUCAGUGUUUCCAACUGCUGAAGCACUCAUAUCCAGUAGAUCAAGUGGACAGUUCUUCACAAAUACCUACAGAUAUGCCCAUACAACACUUGCAUACAUAUAUCACAGUCAUUCAAGGAACGGCACCAACUCGCAGAUGUCCAACAAAUCAUACAUCAGGAGAGAAAAUAGAGCAGUAGGUCUAAUUGCAAAGGAACUUGUCUCCAGCAAAACAAAUGGGCAAGACAUUAGUUCCUCAUGCUGUAAAUCAUCUACCUGCAAUCACCUCCCCACAGUUAAGUCACCCAAUAACUAUCACCACUGCCCUAUUCUCUACAGAAACCAAAAACCUGUUGUGCUAACACCACAUCACUCCCAACAAUUCAUCAGAAACCACAGCCCAACACCCCUCAAUGCACCCAGAAUAAACAAGAACCUGGGGGCAAAAGGUCUUCUCCUAAUAGCUGCACACCAACAACUACAAAAAAUCCACACUGAUAUCUCCCUGACCCUCACAACAUAAUCCCCAACAAUGCUCCUAGUAUACACAAGAACCUGGAAGCAGAAGUUUUUGCAUUAACCUAUUUAUUUCUUAUUGCAGGUACCUGGGAUAGAUUCAAUAUACUAACUCAAUUGCAAGGAGUGGUAUUAGAAUUUCAAAUGCUCAACCUUCUACAAUUGUGUCAAUAUUUGAGGGUCUGUCAUACCUUUCCUGGUAGAACUUGUAGGAGCCAACACAUGAUUAUCCAGCUACGCACAUAGCUAUAGAAACAUCAUGAAAGCACCACAUGGGGAAACUCUGAAAGCAGGCAACAACACAAGCUAUCAGCACUGCUACUCCAGCUUUCAAUCUCAAUGGUGUAGUCCAAACAAAUCAGCAUCUGCACAGAUUUCUAGUAGCACACUCCUAGGGGCCCAUACCUAGCUUAGCUACUUAAUUCUGCAAUCAAUUAUCACAAGCACUGGAUCAUUUCUUGCAUAAGCUUCACUAGGUGCUUCAAGUUUAACUAGAUGCAGGAAACAUGCCAAUGCUUACCCUCUUAUGUCAGCAAUAACAUACAGCAAUUGCCAUUUUGUUCACAAACAAGGACUCUCUACUCUCCACAAACAAGGACCCUUUUGAUAGACAUCUUCAACCUGGCUUUCCUUGACACCAAUGUCAAAGCAAGAUUGAAGAUGUUUCCCUCCAUUUACACAUGAUUUUUGCCAUGCCUUAUAGGGAAUUUCUACAACUCUUCUACAUGUAGAACUUUUUGUAUAUGGAAGCUGGCUCUCCACUUAUUUACAUAGUAGAAAUAGGUUCACUUGUGCAUUUUUGUAUAGUUGACCUAAGUUUACUUCACUCUAUUUGUGUACAUCCAAUUGACUAUCACUGUUCUAUAGUCAAUUAGAACAUUAUUAUAGGUCUAACUCAUCAUAGCAUUCAGGUUUCACCUGGUCAUCCUGUUUGGAUGACCAAGUGUUCAUGUAUCAUAUUUUCGGAGGUAAGGUUUAUGUCCCCCUCCUUUGAUGUACUUUAUUCUUUAUAUAUGAAAAUCAGCACUAGGCACAAUUCCUAGUGGAUUCUACAAAAAGAUUUCUAAUUAAAUGAUGAAGGAUAUAACCAUAAAGGAGUUAAGGAUCGUUACCCACAAGCUUCCUCUGAUAAAUCCCUCAAAAUUUUGCCUCAAUCCGAGCUCUCUAGGUCCAAAAAUCGAGAAUGAAAUCAAACCCGCACACUUAGCCCUUUUUCUACCAGUGAUUUUGCUUCUACGAGAGGGUCCACCGUACACGCAGUUCCGCACAUGCGGAAAAUCCAUCGCAAAUGCGGACUUAACUUAAGUCCAAGAUUCUGCAUCUGCGCGAGAUAUGCCGCAUCUGCGCUCCUGCUCCUGCGGAUAGAUAUCCGCUUCUGUGAUCAACCUUCUGCUUUUGUGCUCUACCUUUCGCAGAAGUGACUUCGCUUCUGUGGUCCUUCCCUCACACAUGUGACCUAUGACCUUUUCCUUCCAAUCCGCACCUGCGUCCUGUGGCUCGCUUCUACGAGGUUGCACUUUAUCUAUCCUAAUCCUAAGACUUAAGCCUCCAUUUAGGGACUAAGUAUCCCAAAAUACUCCUAAAACUAAAAUGAAACCUACCGGCAAGUCACAGUAGCAGAAAUAGAUACGGGGGAAAUAAUUAACAAGGAAUCGGGGCUAUAACUCUCAAAACAAUCAUCCUGGUCAUUACAUCCUCCCCUAUUAAAGUAAUCGUUCGUCCUCAAAUGAGCAUAUAGACAUACCUGAAGUUUGAAAAGAUGAGGAUAACAGCUGCGCAAAUACUGCUCGGUCUCCCAAGUCACCUCCUCGACCGGUUGACCCCUCCACUAAACCUUCAUCGAAGCAAUGUUCUUUGACCUCAGCUUUCGAACCAGCCUGUCCAAAAUAGCCACUGGCUCCUCAACAGAAGAUAGAUCCCUAUCCAACAGGACUAAGCUAAAAUCCAACACGUGAGAUGGAUCAUCGUGAUACUUCUGAGCAUAUAAACAUAGAAUACCGGAUGAACUCCUACUAGACUGGGAGGCAAGGCAAGCUCAUAAGCAACCUCCCCAACUCGCCGAAAUACCUCAAAUGGACCAAUGAACCUUGGGCUCAGUUUUCCCUUCUUUCUGAACCUCAUGACGCCCUUCAUAUGCGAAACCCGGAGCAAGACCCGCUCUCCAACCAUGAAUUCAACACCACGAACCUUUUGAUCCGCAUAACUCUUCUAUUGGGGCUGGUUUGUGCGAAGUCUAUCCUGAAUCACCUUAACCUUCUCUAAGGCAUCCUGAACCAAGUAUGUACCCAAUAAACUGGCCUCCCCCGUCUCGAACCAACUCAUUGGGGACCAACACUACCUAUAAUACAAAGACUUAUACGGUGCCAUCUGAAUGUUAGAUUUAUAGUUGUUGUUGUUGUAUGCAAAUUCCACAAGUGGCAUUAACUGAUCCCAAUAACCUCCAAACUCGAUCACACACGCACAGAGCAUAUCCUCUAGAAUCUGAAUAGUGCACUUGGACUGUCCGUCCGUCUCAGGGUGAAAUGUUGUGCUAAACUCCACCCGAGUACCCAACUCCUAUUUUAUGGACCUCUAGAAUAGUGGUGUAAACUGCGUACCCCUAUCAGAGAUAAUAGAUAUAGUCACACCAUGAAGUCUUACAAUCUCGCGGAUAUAAACUCGGGCCAGCUGCUUGAAAAAAUAGGUAGUCAUCACAGGAAUGAAAUGAUCAGACUUGGUCAGCCUAUCCACAAUUACCCAAGCUACAUAAAACUUCUGGUGAGUCUGUAGGAGUCCAACAAUGAAAUCCAUAGUGAUCCGCUCCCAUUUCCACACCGAAAUCUCUAACUUCUGAAGCAAUCCACUCGGUCGCUGAUGCUCAUACUUCACCUACUGGAAAUUUAGACACCAUGCUACAUAUUCCACUAUGUCUUUCUUCAUUAUAUGCCACCAAUAAUGCUUCCUCAAGUCCUGAUACAUAUUCGUGGCACCCGGAUGAAUGGAGUACCGCGAGCUGUGAGUCUCUUGAAGAAUCAACUCACGCAAUCCAUCUAUAUUGGGCACACAUAGCCUACUUUCACUCUUCGAAUGUGAGCGAAGUACUUCGAGGGAUUAUAUGGAAGAAACCUUCAUCAUCAAUGCACCAUCAUUCCCAAUAGUGACCUCCUUAGCCCCACCAUGCCGAACCGUAUCAUUAAGGACGAACAGAUAGGGGUCAUUAUACUGACGCUCCCUGAUACAAUCAUAAAGAGAAGAUUAGGAGACUAAACAAGCCAAAACUCGUCUCGGCUCAGAAGUAUCCAAUCUAACAAACUUGUUGGCUAAGUCCUAAACAUCCAGUGCCAAUGGCCUCUCUACUGCAGGCAAAUAUGCUAAGUUUCCCACACUCCCCGCCCUGCGACUAAAGGCAUGAAACGUAGAUGGUAACUCAAGGUUGUGGACAAGGUAGUUCUUUUCAUGCACCUUUAGAUGUCUAGAUGCAUAGGUAAUCACCAUAUGGUUCUGCAUCAACACCGCACCGAGAUCAACUCGCAGCGCAUCACAUUAAACAGUAUAAGACCCCGAACCUGUAGGCAAUACCAAUACUGGGGCUGUAGUCAAAGCUGUCUUGAGCUUUUGAAAGCUCUCCUCACACUCUUUUGUCCACAUAAACGGAGCAUCAUUCUGGGUGAGCCUGGUCAUAGGUGCUGCAAUAAAGGAGAAUCCCUUAACAAAUUGACGGUAAUAACCCGCCAAACCAAGAAAUAUUUGGAUCUCUGUAGCUAAGGACGGUCUGCGAAAACUCUGCACUACUUCCACCUUUUUCGAAUCCACUUUGAUCCCUUCGCACGACACUAUGUGACCCAAAAAUGUCACUGAAUCCAACUAGAACUCACAUUUUGAGAACUUUUCAUAUAAUUUCUUCUCUCUCAAGGUCUGAAGCACAGUCCUCCGGUGCUGCUCAUGAUCCUCCCAACUCCGGGAGUACACAAGAAUGUCUUCAACAAAGACAAUGAUGAAUGAGUCAAGAUAAGGCCAAAAUACACUGUGCAUCAAAUGCAUAAAUGCUACUGGGGUGCUGGUUAGCCCAAAUGACAUCACAAGGAAUGCGUAAUGACCAUACCGAGUCUUGAAAGUAGUCUUAGGGAUAUCUAGCUCUUGAAUCUUCAACUGAUGAUAACCUUAAUGGAAAUCAAUCUUGGAAAACACCUAGGCACCCAUAAAAUAGGUCAUCAAUACGAGGCAAAGGAUACAAGUUCUUCAUUGUGAGUUUGUUUAACUGGCGAUAAUCAAUGCACAUACGCAUAGAAUCACCCUUUUUCUUCACAAACAAGACAGGAGCACCCCAAGAUGACACAUUAAGCUGAAUGAAGCCCUUAUCAAGCAAUUUAUGUAAAUGUUCCUUCAACUCCUUCAACUCAAGAGGGGCUAUAUUAUAAGGAAAUAGAGAUGGGCUGAGUGUCGGGCAACAAAUCAAUACCAAAGUCGAUUUCUCUAUUGGGCAGCAUGCCUGGAAGAUCAGCUGGAAAUACAUCAGGGAAAUCCCUGACUACUUUGACUAACUCAACUAUCGGGGUAUCAAUACUGACAUCUAUCACAUAGGCUAGAUACGCUUCACACCUCUUCUCACCCAUUUAUUGAGCUUUAAGAAAUGAAAUAAAUUUGCUAAGAUGGUAAUCUAAGGUACCCCUCCACUCUAAUCGCGGUAAGCCUAUUAUAGCCAGCUUUACGGUCUUGACGUUAUAAUCAAGAAUAGCAUAAUGAUGUGACAACCAGUCCAUGCCCAAGAUAAUAUCAAAGUCUACCAUGAUGAGCAAUAAUAAAUCGGCUCUAGUAUCAAAACCACUAAGAUUAAUCAAACACGAGCGAUACACGUGGUUCACAACAAGAGAAUCUCCCACAGGAGUAGACACAUAAACAAGGGAACUCAAAGAAUCCUGAGAUACUCCCAAAUGCGGGGUAAAAUAAAAUGACAUAUAGGAAUAAGUGGAGCCUAGAUCAAAUAGAGCAGAUGCAUCUCUCUGACAGAUCGGAACAAUACCUAUAAUGACAGAUUUAAAAGCAACGGCCUUUGUACGAGCAGGAAGGGCAUAGUAUCUGGCCUGGCCUCCCCCUCUAGGGCAACCACUACCUCCUCGACCUCUACCUCGAUCUGGCUGAGUAGGUGGAGUAAUAGCUGGUGUUGGAAUCAUGGCCUGAGGACCUGGUGGAGCACGUUGUGGCUAAGAAGUCUGUGAAGGUGCACCUCCUCCUAAGUCUAGGGAAAUCCCUCACUAUAUGGCGAGUGUCACCACACUAAAAAAAAACUCUAAGAAGGCGUGGUUACUGUGGCUGACUCGGGCCAACUCUACUUGACUAACCGCUAAAAACACCCCAUGUAUGAGGUACACUAAUACUUGUCGCGCCCCAUUUUUCCUUGCGGAGUCCGGGUUUAGACAUUCCUUUGGGAAAACUCAUUUCCUUUUGGGAAUUGGGUAUGGAAUUUGAAGAGUCGCCACCUAACGGAUUUAAAGUACAUUAGGGCACCUAAAGCAAAUAACUCAUAAACCGGUUUGCAUUACCAUAGAUUGGGUAAAGACUCAAAAUAAUCUUGAGAGGAAUGUGUUAGGUACCCCUCGAGGUCCACAACGGUGGGUCCUGGCCAAACUAAAAUUAGGUGAAUUAGUCUUAUAAGCAAACAAAGCAAUUUAGACAAAUAGAUAUUACGUUUAAAAUGAGGGGUAAAAGGGGUCCUAGGUUUUUUUUAGCCUAUAGGAUCACUUCUGUACAAUACUUGGUAAUCAUCCCCAAGUAGAGGUGUUAGACAUAGAAUUAGCGCACGUGUCAUCAUAUCUUUUACUACCUGAUUACCCUCCCCUUAAUGGUUAUAUAAGCGAUGCUAAUUAAACGUACUUUAUGCAUGCAUUACCCGUCCCUUACUUGUGGUCGUGGAGGUGUUUAGGAAUUCUUGUUAAGGUGGAUCUAGACUCUCCUAUAGUGCUUAAGAGGAGAAAAUCUAAGCAACAAGCAAAACAAAUAGGACUGUCAGAUAAAGAAACAGUUAAAGGCUCACAUUUACCUCCACAAAGAAGCAGGUAAUUGCACGUCUCAAACAACAGUAUUUCAGACACUUUUAAAGUCCUAUAUCAAGAUAUCUAGGUGAGCACAAAGCAAAACAUAUGCAUUAUUUUUUUAUAUAAAAGCAAGGUAGAAGAUACCUAAUCAGUUUGACUACUGAUUUUAGGACUUGCUAAAUCUUGGCAGUUCACAAACAGUUAAACAAAGCACAGUUUUAUAAUUUCAAGAUUUUAGUUAUCCUACAGGCUUGCCUCGGAAUGGAUUAGAGAUGUCCUAUAAACAUGAUAUCUAAUCGUUAAUCAGAACCACAAUAAACUAGUAAAUGAUUUUAAGCAGGCAGUUUGGUUCAAUAGGUCCUAUAGGCAUACUAUCUAGGUGCUGAAAAAUAAUCACAAAUGUUACAGAACUAGUUUUAUAUAUAAGCCUGAUAUCUAGGUGUUGGGACUGCUUUUAUAUUUAUUUCUUAUAGGCAUGAUUGCUACUGAAGAAACUGAUUUUUAUACGAUUUGACUGCAGGUAUGAUAUAUAUGUGAGUGCAACAAAACUCCUAGAACAUGGUUUCUAAUGCACAUAGGAGAAUUUAUGAACAUGAUUGUUAAGGCUGAAUUAACGACAACCUAGAGACAGGAUUUCUAGCGCGGAUGUGAACAUGCAUAGAUAGAAAUUAAGAGCAAGGAACAUGAUGAACCUAUAAGCAUGUUUUCUAAUGCACACAACAACCUAUAGGCAUGGUUUCUAAUACAGGUAGAUAAUCAUAACAGUCCUACGAGCAUGAUUUCUACCUGAUUUCCCCACAAAAAUAUAUAAAAGUCCAUCACAUUUUACUAAUAUCUCUAAUAUCUAUUUUACAAGAAUUGUUAUUACAGACCAAAAAUGAAUGAAUUACAGAAAUGAGACUGUUAAACUAUAGGGAGCGUGGAUAGGCCCAAAAGUAAACCUGGAAAACCAGGCCUUCAACCAAGUAUUAAGUGCCCCAACAUCUAAUAUUAUCCAAGAGAGUAUCCCGGUGCAUCAAAGUUCCUAAGGGCCUCAAGGACCCUGGGCAACACUCAGACCAAGACUCCUUUUAAAGAGAAAUAGUUUUUGUAUAAUGUGGAAGCGCCAACCCUAGUGUGUUAGAGUUCGGAGGAGUCUCACGGACUCCUAAGAAAUGCUCACACUGGAGGGGAAGGAUCCUAGAUAUUCUAAAAGUAGUAGUAGAAGAUAGUUCUUGAAAGAGUAGAAAUAGUUUUAAGAAAACAGUUCAAAAGUGAAAAUAGCUCAGAAGUGAAAACAGUUCAGAAGUGAAAAUAGCUCAGAAGUGAAAACAGUUCAUAAGUGAAAACAAUUCAGAAGUGAAAACAGUUUAGAAGCAUUCUAAAAACAAAGGUUUCAACAGACAAAUAGAAACACAGUCACAAAGCAAAGAUUCAUAUUGCCCAGAUUUAGUUUAGUUCAUUAGUUAACACUAGGUGGGCAUAUAGCAUCCUCGGAACAACUAUACAUAUAAGGGGUAGCAGGGGUUAGGAACAUAAAAAUCCUUAACCCAGGACACAUGAAUCUGAUAAAAAACAAAAGCAUGUUGAUUAACACCAAGCAAACUGACACAUUAUGACAGCAAAAUUCCAUAACACUCAAUAGGACCUAGUGAUGCUAAUUAGAAGCAAUAAACAGUAAGCACAUAAGUUUAAAGAUCCAGAUUACAUAGCACUCGAUAGAUUAGAAGGACUCAUACUGACUUAAAAUAGUAGAUAUGAAUGAUAUAGAACUUAAAUGCAGGAGUAGUUAUGUUAGUUCAUAGAAAGGGCAGGGGUUUAAUUACACAGAAGUGGUCAUACUAAUUGAGGCCAAUGGAGAGUAAAGAUAAAAGUCUAAAUGCCUAAGUAAGCAUGCUAGUUUAAGGCAAUAAAUAGGAAAGGAUUGAGCUUAAACACAGAACUAGACAUGAUGAUUAAAGCAAUAAACAGGAAAAAUACAUAGUUAAACAUAGAAGUAGACAUGCUAAUCGAAAUGUAGAAGAGACAUGGAAUAGGGGCACAUAGUUUCAAGCUUCAUUGUAUAAUGAACGACAUUAGAAAUAGGGACAUACCAGUUAAAGAUGGUAAAUGGAAGAUGAAAGGUAUGCAGAACUCAAUGAUCUAGCCUUGGCUUUCAGCCGGCUAGGCAGUGCAAUGAACACAAGUAGCAGAGAGGUUUUGAGAGCAAAGUUUUGUGUGUAUGUGUGUGUGUGUGUGUUUUUUAACUAUGUUCAUGUUGAAGAAUCAGUAAUGAGAGUAUAUAUAGCACUUAGUGAGGUAAAACAAAUAAGGUAAAGUGGAAAUCACAAUUCGUAAAACAAUGGUAAUCAAAUAAAAUCAAUCAGCCAAUUAGGGAAUCAAUUCCCAUAGAGAAAUCUGGAAAAGGCCCCUUAAAUUGGGAGGGUCAAUUAACAGUACAUAACUAGGGCUUAAAUAAGGCAAGAGAUCAAUGUCAUACCAUAUAGGAGUCAAUCGGAUCCCCAAACCAUACUAAUAGUUUAAUUAAGGCAAGUAUAACUAAUCAAGGUUACAAAUAAGAAAAUAGGUAAAAUCACAAAAAACACUGAUUUAAUAGGAAAAUAUGAUUCGAAUCCCUAAUAACAAUCAAUCAGUAUAUUGAGUUGACAAAUAAACAAAUAACAGGAAGAAAAUUGAAGAAAUCAGUGCAAGAACAUAACAAGACCUGGGUUUAAAGAACAUAAAAAAAGUAACCACACGAGUAACGGAUAAUCAAAUUAAACACUUGAAAGUUUGAAAAAGAAAACCUUUUGAAGAAACUUGGGACGAAAACCCUAAUUUCAGAGAAGCACUGAAAUCGGAAUAGUAAUAACAAAAGUAUAAGAUUUUUGAGGAAAAAUAUCAAAAAGUACUUAAACCUUCCAGAUCUACAAGGAUAUGGAUAGACCCAAGUAGUUAUAAGACUAGGGUUUUCGAAAAUAGCAGAGAUGAAAGAAACUCGAUCCAAAACCAUAGAUUCAAACCAAAAAUAGGCAAGAAACAGUACUCACAAACGAGAAUGGCCAAAGACAGACAUGUGAGAUAGAUUUCGACAAAACCCGGUUGAAUCUCUUUGAGAUUCUCUCAUAAAUCAAUGAAGUCGAACAACCAGAAGAUGUAACAGGCCAGCAAGGGCCAAAAAUACACAAAAACCCCAUGGACGGGGAGUUUUACAAGUGACGACGGCUAGAUUUUAGGGAGUGUUUGAGAGAGAAUGGAGAGGUCAGGGAAAGUGAUGAUGGUAGAA